rnacentral:lncRNA from 1 species
GAGGGAAGAGUGUUCAAAGGAGGAACCGCCGGCCACCACACGGCCGACAACCCACCGCCGCGCCUCCUUUCCCGCUCCAAAACUCCGAUCAGAAGCGACACAGAGGAGACCAAAAAAAAAAAAAAAAACACCAAGCCGAGAGCGAGCGAGAGAGAAACACUGAGGGGUGAAGAGGCCGAACCAGAGGCAGGAAGCUCGAGGGAGCAGCUCGUUGUCGCCAGAGGUCUGUUCGCCCGCCGUUGUCCGCCGUAGCCCAUCACCGGACGAGGUAGGUCCCUUGAACCCCGUGGUUUCGUUUCUGAAAAACACUGGGCCGGAGCUCACGGCCGACCGGUUCUGUGACAUCCAAAUUUCAGGUUUUAAUUUCGACUGGAUAAAUAGGGUCGUUUUCGUUCAGUUGAAGCCAGAGAUUGUGAAAUUGGGAUGCAAGUACGCCAUAGUGGUAAGGAAAAAUACCAAUUUGAUUGAUGAGGUGUUGAAUGAAUUAAUGGGGGUCAAUUUGAUUUAAUUCAAGUGGGAUUAAGAUUCAAUUGGAAGAGAAUUAAGUGGAAUUGAAGAAAUUGUUGCACAAAGUUUUAUGCCCCGGCAGAAAAUGAAAUUGGACCCAUUGAAGUAGGUUGUAGAGGAAAUGAGUUAGUGGAAGAUGACAUGGGAUGAUGUCAUGUUGGUUGGGCCAAGGAGAAUGAGAUUUGGACAAGUGGAGGGUGGAUAUUGGCUCUUGGAAAGGCACCCAUCAACAUCAUCUUCAAGCUUGGGACUUGGGAGGAGAGAGAAAGGGAGAGCUUCGACCGGAAGCUAGCCGCUCGACGCCGCCCCUUCGCACUCUCGCUUGGCCGUCCGCCUCCGCCGUUCAUCGCCGUCGCAGUCGCUCGUCCGUUCGUCGCCGCCAAGCCAGCCCGCCCGUUGCCAUUCGUCGUGCCGUCCGCGUGCCUCGCCCGCUCGCCCAACCGGCCGAAGACCAGCGAAGGUUGUAGCACCGUCGGAGAAGCUGCUCACCACCCACGCUCUGCUCGCCGUCGCCGGAGUCGCUGUCCUCGCCUCGCGUUGCUCGUCGCCGCUCGCCGUCUCGCGCUCCGCCACCGCCCGCGCUCCCCCGUGCUUGGCCGACAUCCCGAGCUGCUGUCCAGCUCGUGCAGGAAUCGCCGGAGCUCCCUCCGCUGCCUCCAGCCACCAUGAGACCCCGUCGUUGGCCGCACGGCACCGCCGCAGCUCCUCCGCCGUUCCUCUGCCCAACCGACGCCGGAUUCGCCGUUCUCGGCCCCAAAUCAGUGGCUGGAAAAAUGGGUAUGGCAGCCCCCGUUUUGGCCGCCUUCCCGAGCCCAAUGCUCGGCCUGCUUUGAGGAAAGUUGUUCUCCUCGGCGUCCCCGUCGUUUUGGUCCGCUUGGCUCGCUAAUCCGGUGAGUUUAACUCACUAAACCUUGAUUAGAGGGUUAAUGAUGUUUUAUAGGUGCUUAGUUUAUGUUAAGUGUUAUUAGGUGGUUAGUUUAAUUUAUUUAAGUGUAGAUUAUAUUAAGGUGUUUGAUUAACUUAAAUUGUGUUUAAUUUAAGGUUAAGUGAGUGGUUAUAUUAAUAUAAACUGAUGUGACAUAAAGGAAUUUACUUUUGAUUUAUUUAAAUAUUUCGAAAUUGUUUAAUAAUUUAAUAAUAUUAUAUUAUUCGAAAUUAUUAAAAUAUUAUUAUUUAAUUAUUUUCGGAAUAAAUUUAAUUAAUUAUUAAAUUCCGAAAAUUUUGUUAGGACCCUAAAUUCUUAGAAUUUCAUGCCGGUCGCUGUUGUGUAGUCAGAUUUUGAAAUUGAUGAUUGGAUAUUAUAAAUUGAGUGUGGAUUGUAAAAAGUAUGGAUUUUAUUUAGAAAAUUCCAAGUGUCGAGUUUGGCAUUGAAAUUGGAAUGUUAAUGGUUAAUAUCGUAAUUGGAUUAUGUGAGUGAAAUGUAAAGUAUCUAGGGAUCGGUAUCGAAUUGUCGUGUGCUAGUUAAAAGGCUCGGGUCGCAGUAGUGGCUAAGCCGACUGGAUCCUUAUUUUGCUAGAAAUGCCGUCAAGAGAGUGACGUGGCUCGGGUCACAGUAGUGACGGGACCGACUAGAUCUUUAUUCUUCUAGAAAUGCUGUCGAUAGAAUAACGUGGCUUGGUCACAGUAGUGGCGAGACCGACUGGACCUUUAUUCUUCUAGAAAUGCCGUCGAUAGAAUGACGUGGCUUGGUCGCAGUAGUGGCGGGACCGACUGGACCUUUAUUCUUCUAGAAAUGCCGUCGAUAGAAUGACGUGGCUUGGUCGCAAUAGUGGCGGGACCGACUGGACCUUUAUUCUUCUAGAAAUGCCAUAAUGUUAGUAGAUAGUCGAUCUGCGAGUAGGCUAUGCCCUUGUUUGGCAGUGAAUGACAAUUGGAAUGCAUGUUGAGUGUUGUUGAUGGGUCGGAUUAUGGGACGGAAUUGUGCGGCAUGGAAUGGGACGUGUCAUAACGAUUUAGUCUUAUAAUCAGGACCCCCGUGGUUGUUGGUUAUAUGAAAGUGAAUGCGUUUCGGUUGUUUAAGUUCCUAUUUACUAUCUGUGAUUGAGCGAUUUGAAUUGUGCUAACCUGCAGGAAGGAAUUGAGGCGAGGUAAGUUCUCUGUGUGAUGUGGCUAGGCCACCCUUGGGCGUAUUUUCUUUCUAAUAGGGGUUUAGGGGGUUGAACUUGUUGAGACAUUGUCUCAUCCCGGUUGUGGGAUUAAAAUUUCAGGUCCCUGGUGGACGGAGCGGCCAGAUAGCUUUGGUUGGCCUUGAGGAGUUGCAGAGGUGAAGUCAUAAGGAUUGGAGAGCGUGUCCGACUUGUAGGUCGUAAGACAGUUCAUUUUUAAGAGCCGGUCUUUUGUAAACUUUUGGCUAUAGGCCUUCGUCUAUAACUCCGUUGGUUUGUCUAAGUGAUUGGUUGUGAAAUUGUUUCCUGCUUUUCUAUCACGUAUUUCAUUGUCAGAGGUUUUAUAAUACGUUCCGCUUGCGCAAUCAUAAAUGAAUGGGGUUGGAAACACUACUUGGGAAUGUCGCAUUUGCAUGACCAUGGUAGGAUGUUGGCGCGCUCGAGGUUCGGGGCGUGACAAGUUCGCGUGAGCUCCGGUCCACGUUGCCUUUGCGCUUUGCUCCCGUUUCCUCUUACAUUAUGUUCCAAGACUCUUGAAGCGUGUUCAGUGCUCAGUUGAGCCGGAAUCCUUCGAGUUCGGUAGUGUAGACCAUGUGUUCGACAAAAUUUCUCAAAGAAAACCAAAGAGCGGCUUGCGUUUUAACGCCGGACCCACUCAUUUUUGCCCUCGUGCUUGCUGAAUCCUUGCUGCUUGGCUUGAUUCGUUGUGUUUUUGAACGGUUUGCGCGAGAUAUUGGCAUGUAUUUGAAUCGACAACUCGUUAGUGGUCGCCGGAAUAGGUAGCCGACGGGGGCCGGCGCCGGUCGAGUGGGAUGACCGGUGGGCGGCAGUGGUCCGGCGACUUUCCUUGGGGCGGUCGAUACUUGCAGAGUAGUCGGCGUCAGUCCGACGAGGGAGUGGCAAGAGCCUCGGCGUGUCGCGGCUGCGGGAGAGAAGGGAUAGAAAGAGACGAUCAGAAAAGGGGCAGAAAAAAAAUUUAAAAAAAAAAGGAAAGAGAAAAGAAAGCACAAAAAAAGGGAAAAAAAAAAAAGGAAAAGAGAAACGGGCUUCGUUUUGGGCUGGUUUUUAAUUCGUGGGUUGUUUAGGUUGGGCUGGAAAUAGAAGUUAAAAAUUGACCCUCAAAUGGGCUAGACAAAUUGAAAAUGGGCUUUGGGCUGAGAAUUAUCCCUAUUUCUUUUUUUCUUUUUUCUUUUUAAAUUCGUGUGGUUUUUUUUUUUUUUAGUGGGCUGAACCCGGGUCUGGUCAGAGAGACCGGACCCGACCCGCUCGACCGGGUCAGACCCGGUCGGUUCAGAUUGGGCCCUACCCGGUCCGGCCCCUAAAAAUAAUAAUUUUUUAAAAAAAAAUUUCCGAAAACAAAUUAAAACAAAUUAAAAUAAAUUAAAAAUUAAAAAUUAAAAAUUUCGAAAAUCCAAAAAUGAUGGGGUUUGGUUAAGAAUUGAUAUGUUUGCAUUUUUAGUGUAAUUAGGCAUUUACUUGCUCGUAUUUUGAUUAUUUCAUAUGUUUAAUUUGCAUAUCUAAUUGUGUUUAAUUGCACGUGUUUAAUUUUAUUGCAAUUAGGGUCUUGAUAGCUAUGAUUGUUACUUUAAUGACUGUGCACCGCAUGAUCACCUCAUAUGUUAGUGGAUAUAUGCAAAAUCAAUCUAAACUGCUUGAUAAAAAUAUUUAACAGAUACAAUCUAAUUGAACAGGCCUAGUAAUAUCAUUUGAAUGUUUAUAAACAAGCUACUCCGGCAGAGACAUAAAUACACACAGAAUCAACUACUUGAUUAGGCUCUCCAGACAUCUGUUUCACAAUGUCGAAAGCCCGAAGUCAACUCAAACUUCUGCUCCAAUUACGUUUGUUCAGAAAUGAUAUAGGGUUGAGUUUGAUCUCCCCCGCAGUCAGUCUGCGAUCAUUAUUCAAACGGAUGGUGAUACCGCCAUGCUUUUCCCCAGCUGAAGAUUUAAUUUGGUCUUACAUGAUUGGAUUGGAAAUUUUAAAGAAAAUCUCUGCUGAGAAGGGAUUGUGCUAGUACUGAUUUAUUGCCGAUGCUCAUGUGUUCAUGAACCUUAUAGGUUGGUGAUACAGGUAUCCGCCCCAAAAGCCAAGGACCA